rnacentral:rRNA from 1 species
AAAAACAUGUCUGUAUGAAUUUAAUAUAAAGUCUGGCCUGCCCACUGAGGAUUUAAAGGGCUGCGGUAAUUUGACCGUGCGAAGGUAGCAUAAUCAUUAGUUUUUUAAUUGAAGGCUGGAAUGAAAGGUCGGAUGAGAGAUAUACUGUCUUUUUGGUUUGAUUUGAAUUUAACUUUUAAGUGAAAAGGCUUAAAUUCAUUAGUGGGACGAUAAGACCCUAUAAAACUUAAUAUUAUAUAUUUAAAAUUUAAGAAUUUUGUUUAAAUUUGUUUUAAGUAUUUUAUAUUUUAUUGGGGUGAUAAUAAUAAAAUUAGUAACUGUUUAUAAAAUUGAAUAAUUAUUGUUAGUUAAUGAUCCUGUAUAUAGAUUAAUAGAAUAAGUUACUUUAGGGAUAACAGCGUAAUUUUCUUUGAGAGUUCUUAUCGACAAGAGUAGUUGCGACCUCGAUGUUGAAUUAAAAUUUAUUAAUGGGGGUAGAUUCUCAUUUAAUAGGUCUGUUCGACCUUUAAAUUUUUACAUGAUUUGAGUUCAAACCGGUGUGAGCCAGGUG